UCCGAGUUGUCCCCGGCGGUCUCCUACGAGUCCCCACCAUUACGUGCUGGCAACAUAGAACGAGGGUUGCGCUCGUUGCGGGACUUAACCCAACAUCUCACGACACGAGCUGACGACAACCAUGCACCACCUGUAAACCGACCGCAAGCGGGGCACCUGUCUCCAGGUGUUUCCGGUUCAUGUCAAGCCUUGGUAAGGUUCUUCGCGUUGCCUCGAAUUAAGCAACAUGCUCCGCCGUUUGUGCGGGCCCCCGUCAAUUCCUUUGAGUUUUAGCCUUGCGGCCGUACUCCCCAGGCGGGGCGCUUAAUGCGUUAGCUUCGGCACGGACGGGGUCGAUAUCCGCCCACACCUAGCACCCAACGUUUACGGCUAGGACUAC
rnacentral:misc_RNA from 1 species